rnacentral:rRNA from 1 species
AAGCACGAAACUUGCCCCGAGAUGAGUUCUCCCUGACCCUUUAAGGGUCCUGAAGGAACGUUGAAGACGACGACGUUGAUAGGCCGGGUGUGUAAGCGCAGCGAUGCUUUGACUGCCCGGUAGCUAAAUGCGGAAGAGAUAAGUGCUGAAAGCAUCUAAGCACGAAACUUGCCCCGAGAUGAGUUCUCCCUGACCCUUUAAGGGUCCUGAAGGAACGUUGAAGACGACGACGUUGAUAGGCCGGGUGUGUAAGCGCAGCGAUGCGUUGAGCUAACCGGUACUAAUGAACCGUGAGGCUUAACCUUACAACGCCGAAGCUGUU